rnacentral:rRNA from 1 species
UACAGAGGUCUCAAGCGUUGUCCGGAUUCAUUGGGCGUAAAGGGUGCGUAGGCGGCGCGGUAAGUCGGGUGUGAAAUUUCGAGGCUUAACUUCGAAACUGCAUUCGAUACUGCCGUGCUUGAGGACUGGAGAGGAGACUGGAAUUUACGGUGUAGCGGUGAAAUGCGUAGAUAUCGGGAGGAACACCUGUGGCGAAGGCGGCUUUCUGGGCCUUACCUGACGCUGAGACGCGAAAGCGUGGGGAGCGAACCGG